CGCGUAGGCGGCUGUGGCAGUCGGGUGUGAAAGCCCGGAGCUCAACUCCGGAACGGCACUCGAGACGCCAUGGCUGGAGGCCGGAAGAGGAGGGUGGAAUACCCAGUGUAGAGGUGAAAUUCGUAGAUAUUGGGUGGAACACCGGUGGCGAAAGCGGCUCUCUGGUCCGGACCUGACGCUGAGGCGCGAAAGCGUGGGGAGCAAACA
rnacentral:rRNA from 1 species